CUCCUACGGGAGGCAGCAGCUAAGAAUCUUCCGCAAUGGGGGAAACCCUGAUCCAGCCAUUCCGCGUGAGUGAAGAAGGCCUUCGGGUUGUAAAGCUCUUUCAGGAGGGAAGAAACGAUCAUGGUUAAUAACCAUGAUUAAUGACGGUACCUUCAGAAGAAGCACCGGCUAACUACGUGCCAGCAGCCGCGGUAAUACGUAGGGUGCGAGCGUUAAUCGGAAUUACUGGGCGUAAAGCGUGCGCAGGCGGUUUAUCAAGUCUGAUGUGAAAGCCCCGGGCUUAACCUGGGAACUGCGUUGGAAACUGAUAAACUAGAGUACGGCAGAGGGGGGUAGAAUUCCACGUGUAGCAGUGAAAUGCGUAGAUAUGUGGAGGAAUACCGAUGGCGAAGGCAGCCCCCUGGGUCGAUACUGACGCUCAUGCACGAAAGCGUGGGUAGCAAACAGGAUUAGAUACCCUGGUAGUCCACGCCCUAAACGAUGUCAACUAGUUGUUGGGGAGGGAGACCUCCUUAGUAACGCAGCUAAACGCGUGAAGUUGACCGCCUGGGGAGUACGGUCGCAAGAUUAAAACUCAAAGGAAUUGACGG
rnacentral:rRNA from 1 species